rnacentral:lncRNA from 1 species
AGGCCCCUGCUAUAAUCCCCCAGGGAGGGGCUGGGGGCGUGGCUGGUCUUAGAAGACUUGUCUGGUCUGCAGGAAGUCCAAACAAUGCCAUCCAAUUCCCAGGCAUAUCUUUCCUUCCAGAAACAAAACAAACAAAACAAAACCUUGAGGGGGCAGGGGAACUAGAGUCCUUAUGGAGGUGACAUAAGUCAUCCGCUAAGGAAAGGAAGACCCAGUACAUGUCAGUCAGGGUAUGUUAGGCAUACUGGAAAGAGGAUGAGAACUGGCCGUUCUCACAGGGAAUAUGGAGUCAGAAGAGGCUAGAGAUCUCAGAACAGCAAUAACUGCUGUGUUCUGCCAAUCCAUCAGGGAGUAGAAACUUCCUCGGUGGAAGUAUGGGGUGGGUUUCAAGAAGCCAGGAGUCAGGGAGUGCAGGCACAAGCAAAGGCCAUAGGUGUGAGUUUAAAUCCAGGUGCAGCAUCACACACACACACACACACACACACACACACCUCUGUUAUCCCAGCACUUGGGAAGCUGAGGCAGGAGAAUCAUGUUUGAGCCUAGCCUGGGCUACAUGCAGAGAUUGUAAAAAAACUGGUCUCUUGCAACUCUCGAGCACCAGUCUGUCCCACAGAAGCCCCAUCUCUGGCCACAUGUUCAAGUGGAUCAGGAAAGGUGCCCACCGUUAA